UAGCUCAGUGGUAGAGCGUUUGUCUAACACACACAAAGUCCUGGGUUUGAUUUCCAG
rnacentral:tRNA from 1 species